rnacentral:rRNA from 1 species
UACGUAGGGGGCAAGCGUUGUCCGGAAUCAUUGGGCGUAAAGCGCGUGUAGGCGGCCCAGUAAGUCCGCUCUGAAAGCCCGGGGCUUAACCCCGGGAGGCGGGUGGAUACUGCUGGGCUCGAGUCCGGAAGAGGCGAGUGGAAUUCCCGGUGUAGCGGUGAAAUGCGCAGAUAUCGGGAGGAACACCAAUGGCGAAGGCAGCUCGCUGGGACGUGACUGACGCUGAGGCGCGAAAGCGUGGGGAGCAAACAGG